AGUGAAGCGGGAAAAGCUCAAAUUUAAAAUCUGGUAGUCUCUGGCUGCCCGAGUUGUAAUCUGGAGAAGUGUUUUCUGUGCUGGGCCGUGUACAAGUCUCUUGGAAUAGAGCGUCAUAGAGGGUGAGAAUCCCGUCUUUGACACGGACAUCCAGUGCUCUGUGAUGCACUCUCAAAGAGUCGAGUUGUUUGGGAAUGCAGCUCAAAAUGGGUGGUAAAUUCCAUCUAAAGCUAAAUAUUGGCAAGAGACCGAUAGCGAACAAGUACCGUGAGGGAAAGAUGAAAAGAACUUUGGAAAGAGAGUUAAACAGUACGUGAAAUUGUUGAAAGGGAAACGCUUGAAGUCAGUCGCGUCUAGCAAGGAUCAGCCUUUCUCGGAGGGUGUAUUUCUUGCUUGACGGGUCAACAUCAAUUUUGACUACUGGAAAAAGGCCAGGGGAAGGUGGCACCUUCGGGUGUGUUAUAGCCUUUGGUCAUAUACAGUAGUUGGGAUUGAGGAAUUCAGCAUGCCUUCAUGGCUGGGGUUCGCCCACAUUCAUGCUUAGGAUGUUGGCAUAAUGGCUUUAAGCGACCCGUCUUGAAACACGGACCAAGGAGUCUAACAUACCUGCGAGUGUUUGGGUGUAAAAACCCGAGCGCGUAAUGAAAGUGAAAGUUGAGACCCUUUUAAGGGGCAUCGACGCCCGGACCAGACCUUYUGUGACGGAUCUGCGGUAGAGCAUGUAUGUUGGGACCCGAAAGAUGGUGAACUAUGCCUGAAUAGGGUGAAGCCAGAGGAAACUCUGGUGGAGGCUCGUAGCGAUUC
rnacentral:rRNA from 2 species